rnacentral:rRNA from 1 species
AUUGAACGCUAGCGGGAUGCUUUACACAUGCAAGUCGAACGGAGUGGCGGACGGGUGAGUAAUAUAUCGGAACGUGCCCAGUAGCGGGGGAUAACUACUCGAAAGGGUGGCUAAUACCGCAUACAAUCGGAGCGGCCGAUAUCGGAGUAGCUAGUUGGUGGGGUAAAGGCUCACCAAGGCAACGAUCCGUAGCUGGUUUGAGAGGAUGACCAGCCACACUGGGACUGAGACACGGCCCAGACGCCUACGGGAGGCAGCAGUGGGGAAUUUUGGACAAUGGGGGAAACCCUGAUCCAGCCAUCCCGCGUGUAUGAUGAAGGCCUUCGGGUUGUAAAUUACUUUUGGCAGAGAAGCGGUAUCUGCAGAAUAAGCACCGGCUAACUACGUGCCAGCAGCCGCGGUAAUAC